AGAUACUAACUCACUUCCAGGACUGUCACUGAAGCGCAAUUCAAGUUUAUACAAGAAAGUUUAUUCUUACUUCCUUGAUGGAGCUCUUGACAGCUUCCUGUUAGGACAAAAUAGGAUUUGCUUUUGCUCAUUCUUUCCCUUGACUCUUUAUAUUUUAACUGGUCUAACCUUGUGUCUCGGUCAUUGCCAAUCACGAUUGCAUCCUGAGAAAUAGGAAGCAAACUGUCUUACCCUAUGCACACGGCAGAAGGACCUAAGGACCCCUCCUCCACUGGAGGAAGAAGGAAGGGCAUUACAUACAGAAUACGGGGAAAUGCCUGUCCUGCCUUCUGUUAUUUGUCUGGAAACGGACACAUACAUCGCAGACUGUGGACCAUCAUGGCAAACCUCCCCUUAACAGGAGCCCAGAGAGGUGGAGCAGCGUGUGAAAGAGGCAGACCUAGGACGAUACUUCUGGACACCAGAGAUGGUUUUGCGUGACUGUGCGGGAGUUGUACGGGAGUCUGGGAAAGAAGUAGGAGUCUGGGCUCUGCCCUCAGGAAUUGGCCCUGGAACCUAACUUUCUUACAGUCCCAUUUUUCUGAAGUGGAGAUGUGAUAACCCAAAAGAUGGUGUGAGACCUUAAGGAAAGAGGAGCUUCAGUUUGUCUCAGAUAUUGGAUAUGGCAUAGUUUGUGGGAGUAAACUGUCUUCGGUGACUAGAAUUCACUUGAAAAUACCCCCCCCCAAAAUAGACACAGCAAAUGUGAUACAAUAAGUUAAUAUUUGAAAAGUUUCAUAAUAAGCAUUCAAUAAUAAUGAAUAAAUAAUAAUAACAAUAACAAUAAUAACAAUAAUGGAUUGUAGCAAGGCAAGUGGAAGGGACAGUAUUACUUACUGAGAAGAAGUUCUCAGGGAGGUCUGUUCUCCAUUAGUGUCUUCACCAGCCUUGGGCAAACAGAGCGAGGGUCAGGAAGUGAUUUUGGUUUCCUUUCUCCCUCCCCAAGUCAGCCAGGUGCUGUGGCUGGGUGAGGGGAGCCUCCUGUCUCUUCUCAAUACAAGUCACUAUCUGACAGACCCAACCCUACUGGGGCCCAGUGGGCUGCUAAGCACAGCCAACCAGCAAGGGGGGCUUAUGAAUAUGCAAAUUGGAGCCCCCAAGCUGGUUGGCUGACCCCUGUCAUUUCCCACCUCCCUCCGUGGCAAAUCAGGUUCUCUGAAAGCCCAGCUCAGAGGGUUUCUCAAGAUGCCAUCUUCCCUGUCCUUGCUAAGAAUUUUCAGAGCCCUUUGAAGGUUUGGAGCCGGGAUUGCUCAGCUUCCCCCACUGCUCUGUCAGCUCCUGACCUCUGCCUCCAAGUUCCGUUGUGAGACGCCUCCAAAGUGAUCACCUUUCUUC
rnacentral:lncRNA from 14 species